AGCGAACGCUGGCGGCAGGCCUAACACAUGCAAGUCGAACGAGACCUUCGGGUCUAGUGGCGGACGGGUGAGUAACACGUGGGAACGUGCCUUUAGGUUCGGAAUAACUCAGGGAAACUUGUGCUAAUACCGAAUGUGCCCUUCGGGGGAAAGAUUUAUCGCCUUUAGAGCGGCCCGCGUCUGAUUAGCUAGUUGGUGAGGUAAUGGCUCACCAAGGCUACGAUCAGUAGCUGGUCUGAGAGGAUGAUCAGCCACAUUGGGACUGAGACACGGCCCAAACUCCUACGGGAGGCAGCAGUGGGGAAUCUUGCGCAAUGGGCGAAAGCCUGACGCAGCCAUGCCGCGUGUAUGAUGAAGGUCUUAGGAUUGUAAAAUACUUUCACCGGUGAAGAUAAUGACUGUAGCCGGAGAAGAAGCCCCGGCUAACUCCGUGCCAGCCGCCGCGGUAAGAC
rnacentral:rRNA from 1 species